ensembl:misc_RNA 7SK 7SK RNA
GGAUGUGAGGGCGAUCUGGCUGCGACAUCUGUCACCCCAUUGAUCGCCAGGGUUGAUUCGGCUGAUCUGGCUGGCUAGGCGGGUGUCCCCCUCCUCCCUCACCGAUCCAUGGACGACCUCCCCCCCCCCACCCCCGCCCCCCAGGAGAGGACCCGUCUUCGGUCAAGGGUAUACGAGUAGCUGCGCUCCCCUGCUAGAACCUCCAAACAAGCUCUCAAAACAAUAUAUAAAUAUCAUUAUAUAAAAAAAACUAAUAUGCAUAAAAAAUAAACUCUUAAAAACUUUUUUGCCCUCAGCUGAGUAUUUUAGGACAAAGAUUUACUUUGCU